rnacentral:rRNA from 1 species
UACGUAGGUGGCAAGCGUUGUUCGGAAUUAUUGGGCGUAAAGGGCGCGUAGGCGGCUUGUUAAGUCGGCUGUGAAAGCUCGGGGCUCAACCCCGGAGGGUCAGCCGAUACUGGCAGGCUAGAGUACGGAAGAGGUAGCUGGAAUUCCCGGUGUAGCGGUGAAAUGCGUAGAUAUCGUAAGGAAGACCAGUGGCAAAGGCGGGUCUCUGGACAGGUCCUGACGCUGAGGCACGAAGGUCAGGGGAGCAAACGGG